rnacentral:rRNA from 1 species
AGCGAACGUUAGCGGCGGGCCUAACACAUGCAAGUCGAGCGAGAAAGUGGCUUCGGCCACGAGUAAAGCGGCGGACGGGUGAGUAACACGUAGGUAAUCUUCCCUUGAGCGGGGGACAACGAGCCGAAAGGCUCGCUAAUACCGCAUACGUUUCCAGAGGCCCCGGUCUCUGGAAGGAAAGCUAGGCCGCAAGGUCUGGCACUCGAGGCGGGGCCUGCGUCGCAUCAGCUAGUUGGUGGGGUAACGGCCUACCAAGGCGAAGACGCGUAGCUGGUCUGAGAGGAUGAUCAGCCACACUGGGACUGAGACACGGCCCAGACUCCUACGGGAGGCAGCAGUGGGGAAUAUUGGACAAUGGGCGCAAGCCUGAUCCAGCCACGCCGCGUGAGUGAUGAAGGCCUUCGGGUCGUAAAGCUCUGUGGGGAGGGACGAACCGCUGCACGUUCAUAGCGUGCAGCAUGACGGUACCUCCUUAGCAAGCACCGGCUAACUUCGUGCCAGCCGCCGCCGUAA